rnacentral:rRNA from 1 species
UGUCUCGAUGUUGCCAGCACGUAAUGGUGGGGACUCGUGAGAGACUGCCGGGGUCGAACUCGGAGGAAGGUGGGAUGACGUCAAAUCAUCAUGCCCCUUAUGUCUAGGGCUUCACACAUGCUACAAUGGCUAGUACAGAGGGCUGCGAUACCGCGAGGUGGAGCGAAUCCCUUAAAGCUGGUCUCAGUUCGGAUUGGGUCUGCAACUCGACCCCAUGAAGUCGGAGUCGCUAGUAAUCGCAGAUCAGCAACGCUCGCGGUUCCGAAUACGUUCCGGGCCUU